rnacentral:tRNA from 1 species
GCGGGCGUAGUUUAAUGGUAGAACCGAAGCUUCCCAAGCUUCUAGCGUGGGUUCGAUUCCCAUCGCCCGCUCCA